rnacentral:lncRNA from 1 species
CCCUAAUUACCAUUAGAGACAUACUAAAAAACAACCCAAUCCACAAGACUUUCUCUAUAAAUCAAUUCCACGUCACUCACGUCCCUAGAUCCUAAAGGUUUCCAUCCUAAGGUUUCCUAGGUCCAUCCUAAACUUUCACUUUUCUAGGCUCUGAUACCAUCUUAUCUGUCACGCCCGGCGACCGCCAAUUUGGUCGGUUCGGGUACGUCCAUAGACGCCGGACGGACAGCACCUCCCCUGUCCCCCCAAGGCUCCACACAAAGUAUCAACAUGUAUAACAAUUUGUGCAACGAACAUUCAGAUAUACAUGGCUUAAACGAGGGCAAGCAACAACCAUAAGUGAAAGUACCACUACUAUUAUCACAUUCACAUAUGUUUCUUGAUUACAUUUAACCAAAUACAAGCAUACUAUAAUUUACAUCUAUUUUUCCCAAAACAUAUGUAAUUUACAUCAUUUAUACAUUUCCAUCCUUUUACACUUUUCAUCAUAACCAAAAGAUAAAAUAAGGUACCACUAAUGCACGGGUGUCCGCUACCUAGGGCACUAUGCCCUUGCCGCGAUCCUCAACCGCCUCACUCGGGCCCGGAUCUGAAAAAUGAUGGAGGUGAGAACUACAAGAAAGUUCCUAGUGGGUUCAGCCGCCGACCCUGCCGAUUUUUCCACUAGGUCUAACCAGGCAUAAGUUGAAAAGGACAGAUAGAUAGAUAGAAGUCAUUUCUAAUCAAAUGCAGCUACUAUGCCUGA